ACUCCCCAGGCGGGGUACUUAAAGCGUUAGCUACGGCACGGAACCCGUGGAAUGGACCCCACACCUAGUACCCACCGUUUACAGCGUGGACUACCAGGGUAUCUAAGCCUGUUCGCUCCCCACGCUUUCGCUCCUCAGCGUCAGGAAAGGCCCAGAGAACCGCCUUCGCCACUGGUGUUCCUCCUGAUAUCUGCGCAUUCCACCGCUCCACCAGGAAUUCCAUUCUCCCCUACCUUCCUCAAGUCAACCCGUAUCGAAAGCACGCUCAGGGUUAAGCCCCAAGAUUACACUCCCGACGCGAUCAACCACCUACGAGCCCUUUACGCCCAAUAAAUCCGGACAACGCUCGCACCCUACGUAUCACCGCGGCUGCUGGCACGUAGUUAGCCGGUGCUUCUUUACCCAUUACCGUCACUCACGCUUCGUCACAGGCGAAAGCGGUUUACAACCCGAAGGCCGUCAUCCCGCACGCGGCGUUGCUGCAUCAGGCUUCCGCCCAUUGUGCAAUAUUCCCCACUGCUGCCUCCCGUAGGAGUCU
rnacentral:rRNA from 1 species